GACAGAGGGGGCAAGCGUUGCUCGGAAUCACUGGGCGUAAAGGGCGCGUAGGCGGGCUGGCAAGUCAGUCGUGAAAUCUCUCGGCUCAACCGAGAAACGUCGGCUGAUACUGCCGUUCUUGAGGGAUGCAGAGGAGACUGGAAUUCCCGGUGUAGCGGUGAAAUGUGUAGAGAUCGGGAGGAACACCGGUGGCGAAGGCGGGUCUCUGGGCAUCUCCUGACGCUGAGGCGCGAAAGCGUGGGGAGCAAACGGG
rnacentral:rRNA from 1 species